UCCAAUUUCUCACCCAAUUCACACAUUCAAGUUAUAGGAUUCGUUUAUUCAGACUAAAAUUUUUAAGGGUAUAAAAAUUUAAUUACUAUAAAACAAUAUACUUAUUGUUAAUUAUUGUAGAAAAGUUCAGUAAAUUUAUAUUUAAUUACUAUAAGAAAGUCUUAUUUAUCAAUGUAAAAAUGUAUCAUUCUAACUUUUAAUAAAGUAACAUUUUAAAAAAAUUAUCGUCAAUUUCUUUUUCUUUUUAACCAAUUUCCUUUUGCUUAAUCUCUGUGCUUCUAAUUUGUUUUCUUCAAAAAGACUCAUUUGACCAAAUUCAAAUAAUUUAACCUUGUCAUUCCAUGUUGCCACCUUUGGAUUUAAAUUUGUGGCAUAAAUAGAAGACACCGCAUCUCUCAUCUUUCAAUCACUUCAGUUUUUUUUUUUACUUUUUUCAUCGAUCCAAUGUUAUUUAAAGUUUUCAUUCCAUAUAUUAUUUGUUAGUAUUUCUGUCAAAAUAAAGUUCAUAAUAGGGUGAGGAGUUGAGUACUGUUUGGAGGUAUUUCUUCCUACAUUCCUACAUUUUUCUUCCUACACCCCUUCAUUAUUUGAAAUACCAGAAUUAUCUUUGAUAAUUUUGGGUGAUUUAGAAAUAAGAGUUCAGUAAGAAAAAAUGUGUCCAGAAUAAGGAUUUCGUAAAUAAAGUGGUUUCCAAAAUAAGAAAUCCAGAAGAUAAAAAACCAUUCCAGAAUAUGCUUUUCGGAACAUAUUUUUUUAAUUUCCAGAAUAAUAAAUCUAGAAUUCCUAAAAUAUGUUAUUGAAAGUGUGUUCCAGAAAUAUUUCAAAAAAAAAACCUGGAAGUCAUUUUUAAAAGGGGUAAAAUGGUCUUUUCGAAUAAUGAUAGGGUGCAAGAAGCCAUUUGUUGGGUGCAGGAGAAACACCCUGAGUUUGGUUGCAGUAUAAAUAUGUGAACUUGCUUACACAACAGAUGUUUGAAGCCCACUAGAGCCACCAUCCAACGGCUUUUGCUUCCUGCACCCCCACAUUUUUCAACCUACACCUCCACAGUUGGUGAAAUGACCGAAUUGCCUUCUAUCUGCUUCUUUCUCACUACACCACACCACUACUGCUGUAGGAGUUACCACUUGCCAUUUCCUCUAUUCAGUCCUUGCAGAAUUCAAGAUUUACUCCAACUCAAUGCUGUUAAUCUGAUCUAUAUGAUCAUCAAACAUAGGUGCACAAGGGAUAGAAUGUUUAUCUUCUGAUUCAACCAGUGUCAAGCUAGGCAAUAAAUGCACAUUUGCCUCCAGAAAUUGUCAUUGUACUGUAAUUUGUGAAUUUAUAGCAAACGUAUUAUCAUUAUCAGGUAGUAUAUAGCAUAAGUAUCCACACAAACAAGUAGAAAUCUACUAUCAAUUCAUGGUGCAUCUUCUUAAAUAAGCCUUUUAUGUUGAGACCAUACUUCAGAGAUAUAUGGACACCAUGAUUCUAGCUUUUGAACCGCAGUUGCGAUCAUUCCUUUUAUAUAUUAUUUUUCACCAAGCUACCUCGUAUUGUUGCAUCCUGAUUAUAGCAAGUGUAAUAAACAGGUUCCUUUGAUAAAAAGAUGUAUAAAACAUACUGAGACAUUCCAAAAUAACCUUCAUGAUACUAACAUUUGUCUGCAACUCCUUAAGUUUUCAAGAGUCACCAUCUUGUUUUUUCCUGCGGUUGC
rnacentral:lncRNA from 1 species